rnacentral:lncRNA from 1 species
CGUAAAUAUUCUUAUGUUGUUUUUCUUCUUUUUAUUCUCUCUAUUAUUUGUGUGAGUGCUUCCACUAUAGGUCUCAACAAAUGGUAUCAGAGCGAGGUUCUGACAUAAGGGAGGAGAGAAAAAGGAGUAGGAGGUACUACAUCAGCAGUCUAGGAGGAAGACGAGUCAACACCACGUUAGCGGAUCUCGAUGUCGCAUCAGUAUUUUUUUGGGAAGAGGUUGGUUCUGACU